GAUGAACGCUAGCGGCAGGCUUAACACAUGCAAGUCGAGGGGUAUAGGUUUUCGGACCUAGAGACCGGCGCACGGGUGCGUAACGCGUAUGCAAUCUACCUUUUACAGAGGGAUAGCCCAGAGAAAUUUGGAUUAAUACCUCAUAGUAUUAUUGAAUGGCAUCAUUUAAUAAUUAAAGUCACAACGGUAAAAGAUGAGCAUGCGUCCCAUUAGCUUGUUGGUAAGGUAACGGCUUACCAAGGCAACGAUGGGUAGGGGUCCUGAGAGGGAGAUCCCCCACACUGGUACUGAGACACGGACCAGACUCCUACGGGAGGCAGCAGUGAGGAAUAUUGGUCAAUGGGCGCAAGCCUGAACCAGCCAUGCCGCGUGCAGGAUGACGGUCCUAUGGAUUGUAAACUGCUUUUGUACAGGAAGAAACAUUCUACGUGUAGAACCUUGACGGUACUG
rnacentral:rRNA from 1 species